rnacentral:rRNA from 1 species
UACGGAGGGGGCAAACGUUGUUCGGAAUUACUGGGCGUAAAGGGUGCGUAGGCGGUUUGGUAAGUCUAGCGUGAAAUCUUCCCGCUCAACGGGGAAACUGCGCUGGAAACUGCCGAGCUCGAGGGUGGGAGAGGCAAGUGGAAUUCCUGGUGUAGCGGUGGAAUGCGUAGAUAUCAGGAAGAACACUCGUGGCGAAGGCGGCUUGCUGGCCCAUUCCUAACGCUGAAGCACGAAAGCCAGGGGAG